ensembl:snoRNA small nucleolar RNA SNORA2/SNORA34 family
AUGGCCCUGAAUCAAGGUCGGCAGUUUUUUGAAGCUGUUGGUUUCAAGUAGGAGCCUAAUAUGGUAGCUUUCUAUGGUUCACACUGGCUAUUUCAGAACUCUAGAAAUGUAAUGGUCAAUUCAUUAGAAAGAAACAACU